UUUCCGUAGGUGAACCUGCGGAAGGAUCAUUCAUAAUAAGUGUUUUAUGGCACUUUUUUAAAUCCAUAUCCACCUUGUUUGAAAUGUCAGGGUUGAUUUUUUUCUUGAGAGGAUCGUACCAAAACAUCAACGAUAUCUCAACUCUUUGUCUGAAAAAUAUUUUGUAUAAAACAAUUCAAAAUACAACUUUCAACAACGGAUAAAUUGGUUCUGGCUUCGAUGAUGAACGCAGCAGAUAGGAAGAGCACACGUAUGACAUCCAGUCACCCAUAAUCAACA
rnacentral:misc_RNA from 1 species